UACGAAGGGGGCUAGCGUUGUUCGGAAUUACUGGGCGUAAAGGGCGCGUAGGCUGUGCUGUAAGUCAGGCGUGAAAGCCCCGGGCUCAACCUGGGAAUUGCGCUUGAUACUGCGGCGCUGGAAGGUGGGAGAGGAUGGCGGAAUUCCCAGUGUAGAGGUGAAAUUCGUAGAUAUUGGGAAGAACACCGGUGGCGAGGGCGGCCAUCUGG
rnacentral:rRNA from 1 species